ensembl:lncRNA
CACGUGGGUGAGCCAGGGGUAUAUACAAUAAAGUUGCGCUGACCGCGGCGCUGAAAACAUUCUCUCAAUUGCAUGUUAUUACGACUUCACAUGCAAUACAAAUACACCACACGACCGAACAAGUCGUCGUUUUUAUGUUGGUUACAGGCUGAAGACAGUGGAGAACAACGACACCUUUUUUUAUUUCUUAAGAAUCAAGAGUCAAUCCAGUCUUAUUGAAAUAUUCUGGGCUUUAACCUCGUUGCGACUUGAACCGUUGAUACCCGCGUGGGACUACAGGUGCUUAACCUCCCUCCUGCCAGUUCUGCAUGGUCAUGACCUGUCGUCACGCCCCUUCCCCAGCCCACCUCGUCCUAUUGGUCCUGCUUUGUGUCACUCCACAGCUGGCUGGCGCCGCCCCUGUGCGGGCUGAGGGAGGCGAGGGAGGGGCGGCCGAGGGGCGCGCACGGACAGACCUCAGGGACGACAGCCUUGGCAGCGUGCUCUCGCUCCCACGCCUCCGCCUCUCGGAGGAGGGGGCGCCGGGGCCGGGGGAGCUCAGAGAUAACCCCCUGGACCCCGCGCUGCUGCUCAGCGCUCUGCUGGAGGUCCUGGACCGCCCUGGCGCCCGGGGGCUGCGGGAGAACGGGACGGGGGGAGAUGGGGACGAUGGGGGGGCCCCGGUCGCAGAGCGAGGGGCUGAUAGGAAGGAGGAGGAGGAGGAGGAGGAGGAGGAGAAGGAGGAGGAGGAGGAGCAGAGGGGAAGAGCGAGG